rnacentral:rRNA from 1 species
ACGAGAAGACCCCAUGGAGCUUUAAACCCAACAGCACCCGUUUAUUUUCAUCCUCACAUAAGUUAGGUUAUGCCUGUUUGGUUUUAGGUUGGGGUGACCACGGAGUAUAAAACAACCUCCAUGAAAAAAGGACCAAAAAUCCUUAUUAGAGAAAGACAUUUCUAAAAUUAAUAAAUUAAUUUUUAAUGAUCCGAUAUUCGAUCAACGAACCAAGUUACCCUGGGGAUAACAGCGCAAUCCACUUCAAGAGCUCCUAUCGACAAGUGGGUUUACGACCUCGAUGUUGGAUCAGGGUAUCCUAGUGGUGCAGCAGCUACUAACGGUUCGUUUGUUCAACGAUUAA